rnacentral:rRNA from 1 species
UACGUAUGGGGCAAGCGUUAUCCGGAUUUACUGGGUGUAAAGGGAGCGUAGGCGGCGGGGCAAGCCUGAUGUGAAAGCCCGGGGCUCAACCCCGGGACUGCAUUGGGAACUGCCCUGCUGGAGUGCCGGAGGGGCAGGCGGAAUUCCUAGUGUAGCGGUGAAAUGCGUAGAUAUUAGGAGGAACACCAGUGGCGAAGGCGGCCUGCUGGACGGUGACUGACGCUGAGGCUCGAGAGCGUGGGGAGCAAACAGG